GACGAACGCUGGCGGCGUGCCUAAUACAUGCAAGUAGAACGCUGAAGGAGGAGCUUGCCUCUCUGGAUGAGUUGCGAACGGGUGAGUAACGCGUAGGUAACCUGCCUGGUAGCGGGGGAUAACUAUUGGAAACGAUAGCUAAUACCGCAUAAUAGUAGAUGUUGCAUGACAUUUGCUUAAAAGGUGCAAUUGCAUCACUACCAGAUGGACCUGCGUUGUAUUAGCUAGUUGGUGGGGUAACGGCUCACCAAGGCGACGAUACAUAGCCGACCUGAGAGGGUGAUCGGCCACACUGGGACUGAGACACGGCCCAGACUCCUACGGGAGGCAGCAGUAGGGAAUCUUCGGCAAUGGACGGAAGUCUGACCGAGCAACGCCGCGUGAGUGAAGAAGGGUUUCGGAUCGUAAAGCUCUGUUGUAAGAGAAGAACGAGUGUGAGAGUGGAAAGUUCACACUGUGACGGUAUCUUACCAGAAAGGGACGGCUAACUACGUG
rnacentral:rRNA from 1 species